UGUGUGUGUGUGUGUGUGUGUGUGUGUGUGUGCGUGCACAUGUGUGCGUGUCACUUAUAUGCAUGAAUACCGUUGUAGGUAUUUCUCUGUUUUCUCCUGCAGGAUGAAGAGACUGAACUGAAAAAAGAGACUUUCAGAACCUUUUGUUGAGACGUGUUCUGGUUUCAGGAUGUUUGUCUGUCUGCAGACAGCAGAGGUUCUGUCUGCAGACAGCACAGGUUCUGUCUGCAGACAGCAGAGGUUCUGCAGCAGAGGUUCUGUCUGCUGCUCCACGUCUUCUUUUCUUUAGUUCUUGGGUUAAAGUUGCGUUUGGGGUCAAAGGUCAAACGAUGGAACACGUCUUCUUCUGUUUCCUGUUUGUCAUAAAUGAAACUAAACUCAGGUUUCAGCUUUUUGAAGCCAUAAACUGAUUUAUGAGAAUAUUUUAAAGGUGAACGUUUCUCAGCCACAACAUCAAGACCAGCUGUUGGUCCAGGUUCUGGCCCGUCCAGGACCCUCCUGGUGGUUCUGGAUGGAAACAUGACUUUCCUCAGCUGUCAGAAGAUCUCAAGAUGAUUUCAUUCAGUUAAAGGAUCAUGUUGGACUUUAUAUUUUGGAUCCAUUCUGUUUGUUUGUUUGUUUGUUUGUUUGUUUACUGCAGCUGAUGCAGGUUUAGCUUGGAUCGUGAUUGGUCCAGUCAUCUGCUUCAUCCUGCUGCUGUUUGUGGCUGGUGGUGUUUUUUACAUCAUCAGGAAGAGACAAAUUGAGGGUCCGCUCGGAGAUCUCAUCACCUCACCAAACCCCGAAUACUUCAGCGCCAGCGACAGUAAGGAAAAUAUUAUUAUGCAAAUCCUGAGAAGACAACAUGUUGCUGACGCUGCUUUCUGUGGACAACCCCAAUGUUGUAAAAAGGUUGUGUAAAGUGCAAAUAAAAACAGAACGAAAGGGUUUGCAAA